rnacentral:rRNA from 1 species
AGACAUGCAAGUCGACGGUUUUUAAUGAAGCGCAAGCAGAUUUAAAAGCAGUGGCGAACGGGUGCGUAACACGUGAACAAUCUACCUUCAAAUGGGGAAUAGCUCGCCGAAAGGCGAAUUAAUACCGCAUGUGGUUGCUGCUCGCAUGAGUGGCAUACCAAAGUCAGGGACCGCAAGGCCUGAUGUUAGAAGAGGAGUUCGCGGCCUAUCAGCUAGUUGGCGAGGUAACGGCUCACCAAGGCUAAGACGGGUAGCUGGUCUGAGAGGAUGAUCAGCCACACUGGAACUGAGACACGAUCCAGACACCUACGGGUGGCAGCAGUUUCGAAUCAUUCACAAUGGGCGAAAGCCUGAUGGUGCGACGCCGCGCGAGGGAUGAAGGCCUUCGGGUUGUAAACCUCUGUCACCGGGGAAGAAACGCUUCAAGUUAAUAGCUUGAAGCCUGACUUAACCCGGAGAGGAAGCAGUGGCUAACUCUGUGCCAGCAGCCGCGGUAAUACAGAGACUGCAAGCGUUAUUCGGAUUCACUGGGCGUAAAGGGUGCGCAGGCGGCCAAAUGUGUGAGGCGUGAAAAGCCCGGGGCUUAACCCCGGAAUUGCACCUCAAACUAUUUGGCUAGAGCAUUGGAGAGGGUAGCAGAAUUCACGGUGUAGCAGUGAAAUGCGUAGAUAUCGUGAGGAAUACCAGAGGCGAAAGCGGCUACCUGGACAAUUGCUGACGCUCAGCACGAAAGCGUAGGGAGCAAAAGGGAUUAGAUACCCCUGUAGUCCACGCCCUAAACGGUGCACACUAGUCUUGAGGAUUCGACCCCACCAGGCCCAAGCUACGCGUUAAGUGUGCCGCCUGAGACUANGUCGCAGACUAAACUCAAGGAAUNACGGGGCCGCACAGCGGUGGAGUAUGUGGCUUAAUUCGAUGCA